UGGGGAAUAUUGGGCAAUGGAGGAAACUCUGACCCAGCGACGCCGCGUGCGGGAUGAAGGCCUUCGGGUUGUAAACCGCUUUCAGCAGGGAAGAAGCGAAAGUGACGGUACCUGCAGAAGAAGCACCGGCUAACUAUGUGCCAGCAGCCGCGGUAAUACAUAGGGUGCAAGCGUUGUCCGGAAUUAUUGGGCGUAAAGAGCUCGUAGGUGGUUCGUCACGUCGGAUGUGAAAAUCUGGGGCUUAACCCCAGACCUGCAUUCGAUACGGGCGAGCUAGAGUGUGGUAGGGGAGACUGGAAUUCCUGGUGUAGCGGUGGAAUGCGCAGAUAUCAGGAGGAACACCAAUGGCGAAGGCAGGUCUCUGGGCCAUUACUGACACUGAGGAGCGAAAGCGUGGGGAGCGAACAGGAUUAGAUACCCUGGUAGUCCACGCCGUAAACGGUGGGCACUAGUUGUGGGAACCUUCCACGGUUUCUGCGACGCAGCUAACGCAUUAAGUGCCCCGCCUGGGGAGUACGAUCGCAAGAUUA
rnacentral:rRNA from 1 species